AGAGUUUGAUCAUGGCUCAGGAUGAACGCUGGCGGCGUGCCUAAUACAUGCAAGUCGAGCGAACUGAUUAGAAGCUUGCUUCUAUGACGUUAGCGGCGGACGGGUGAGUAACACGUGGGCAACCUGCCUGUAAGACUGGGAUAACUUCGGGAAACCGAAGCUAAUACCGGAUAGGAUCUUCUCCUUCAUGGGAGAUGAUUGAAAGAUGGUUUCGGCUAUCACUUACAGAUGGGCCCGCGGUGCAUUAGCUAGUUGGUGAGGUAACGGCUCACCAAGGCAACGAUGCAUAGCCGACCUGAGAGGGUGAUCGGCCACACUGGGACUGAGACACGGCCCAGACUCCUACGGGAGGCAGCAGUAGGGAAUCUUCCGCAAUGGACGAAAGUCUGACGGAGCAACGCCGCGUGAGUGAUGAAGGCUUUCGGGUCGUAAAACUCUGUUGUUAGGGAAGAACAAGUACGAGAGUAACUGCUCGUACCUUGACGGUACCUAACCAGAAAGCCACGGCUAACUACGUGCCAGCAGCCGCGGUAAUACGUAGGUGGCAAGCGUUAUCCGGAAUUAUUGGGCGUAAAGCGCGCGCAGGCGGUUUCUUAAGUCUGAUGUGAAAGCCCACGGCUCAACCGUGAAGGGUCAUUGGAA
rnacentral:rRNA from 1 species